UACGAAGGGGGCUAGCGUUGCUCGGAAUUACUGGGCGUAAAGCGCACGUAGGCGGUCUUUUAAGUCGGGGGAUGAAAUCCUGGAGCUCAACUCCAGAACUGCCUCGAUACUGGAAGACUCGAGUCCGGGAGAGGUGAGUGGAACUGCGAGUGUAGAGGUGAAAUUCGUAGAUAUUCGCAAGAACACCAGUGGCGAAGGCGGCUCACUGGCCCGGUACUGACGCUGAGGUGCGAAAGCGUGGGGAGCAACAGG
rnacentral:rRNA from 1 species